ACGGGGUGCAGCAGGCGCGAAAACUCCACAAUGUACGGAAGUACGAUGGGGUUAUCUCGAGCGCAGUCCGAUAAUGGCUGCUUUUCCAUAGAGUAAUAUCCUGUGGGAAUAAGAGGGGGGCAAGACUGGUGUCAGCCGCCGCGGUAACACCAGCCCCUCGAGUGGUGGGGACUAUUAUUUGGCCUAAAGCUUCCGUAGCUGGCUGUAUCCCUCUCCCGGUAAAUCCGGCGUCCUAAGCGUCGGUUCUCGGGUGAUACCAUACAGCUAGAGGGUGGGAUAGGUGAGCGGUAUUUCUGGGGUAGGGGCGAAAUCCUUUGAUCCCAGGAAGACCUCCAAUGGCGAAAGCUGCUCACUAGAACACGCCUGACGGCCAGGGACCAAAGCUGGGGCAGCGAACCGGAUUAGAUACCCGGGUAGUCCCAGCUGCAAACGAUGCUACCUAGGUGUUGGGUCCGACAUACGCCGCGCCAUUGCCACACGGAAGCC
rnacentral:rRNA from 1 species